rnacentral:rRNA from 1 species
AACGAACGCUGGCGGCAUGCCUAACACAUGCAAGUCGAACGAGACCUUCGGGUCUAGUGGCGCACGGGUGCGUAACGCGUGGGAACCUGCCCUUAGGUUCGGAAUAACUCCCCGAAAGGGGUGCUAAUACCGGAUAAUGUCUUCGGACCAAAGAUUUAUCGCCUUGGAUGGGCCCGCGUUGGAUUAGCUAGUUGGUAGGGUAAAAGCCUACCAAGGCGACGAUCCAUAGCUGGUCUGAGAGGAUGAUCAGCCACACUGGGACUGAGACACGGCCCAGACUCCUAUGGGAGGCAGCAGUGGGGAAUAUUGGACAAUGGGCGAAAGCCUGAUCCAGCAAUGCCGCGUGAGUGAUGAAGGCCUUAGGGUUGUAAAGCUCUUUUACCCGGGAUGAUAAUGACAGUACCGGGAGAAUAAGCUCCGGCUAACUCCGU